rnacentral:tRNA from 1 species
CAUUAGGUGACUGAAAGCAAGUAUUGGCCUCUUAAGCCACUUAAUAGUAAUAGCAACUACUUCUAAUGA